CAGUCGCCGCGGGAAUACGUAGGUGGCAAGCGUUGUCCGGAAUUAUUGGGCGUAAAGGGCUCGCAGGCGGUUUCUUAAGUCUGAUGUGAAAACCCCCGGCUCAACCGGGGAGGGUCAUUGGAAACUGGGAAACUUGAGUGCAGAAGAGGAGAGUGGAAUUCCACGUGUAGCGGUGAAAUGCGUAGAGAUGUGGAGGAACACCAGUGGCGAAGGCGACUCUCUGGUCUGUAACUGACGCUGAGGAGCGAAAGCGUGGGGAGCGAACAGGAUUAGAUACCCCUGUAGUCCCUGUCUCUUAUAC
rnacentral:rRNA from 1 species